GUGCCAGCAGCCGCGGUAAUACCGGCAGCCCGAGUGAUGGCCGAUCUUAUUGGGCCUAAAGCGUCCGUAGCUGGCUGCGCAAGUCCGUCGGGAAAUCCACUCGCCCAACGAGUGGGCGUCCGACGGAAACUGUUUGGCUUGGGGCCAGAAGAUCUGAGGGGUACGUCCGGGGUAGGAGUGAAAUCCUGUAAUCCUGGACGGACCACCGGUGGCGAAAGCGCCUCAGAAAGAUGGACCCGACGGUGAGGGACGAAAGCUAGGGUCUCGAACCGGAUUAGAAACCCCAGUAGUCC
rnacentral:rRNA from 1 species